UCCUGGUUAACCCAGGCAGUCUCAUUAGAGUUCCCACCUUAAAUGUUGGCAACUAAUGAUAAGGGUUGCGCUCGUUGCUGGACUUAACCAAACACCUCACGGCACGAGCUGACGACAGCCAUGCAGCACCUGUGCAGCGGCCCCGAAGGGAAAUGUCAUUUCUGACAUCGUCCACUGCAUGUCAAACCUGGGUAAGGUUCUUCGCGUUGCAUCGAAUUAAACCACAUGCUCCACUGCUUGUGCGGGUCCCCGUCAAUUCUUUUGAGUUUCAGCCUUGCGACUGUACUCCUCAGGCGGUAUACUUAUCGCGUUAGCUACGGCACAUCCGGGGUUGAUUCCAGAUACACCAAGUAUACAUCGUUUAGGGCAAGGACUAC
rnacentral:misc_RNA from 1 species